rnacentral:rRNA from 1 species
AGAGUUUGAUCCUGGCUCAGAUUGAACGCUGGCGGCAUGCCUUACACAUGCAAGUCGAACGGUAACAGGCCGCAAGGUGCUGACGAGUGGCGAACGGGUGAGUAAUGCAUCGGAACGUGCCCAGUAGUGGGGGAUAGCCCGGCGAAAGCCGGAUUAAUACCGCAUACGACCUACGGGUGAAAGCGGGGGACCGAAAGGCCUCGCGCUAUUGGAGCGGCCGAUGUCAGAUUAGGUAGUUGGUGGGGUAAAGGCCUACCAAGCCUACGAUCUGUAGCUGGUCUGAGAGGACGACCAGCCACACUGGGACUGAGACACGGCCCAGACUCCUACGGGAGGCAGCAGUGGGGAAUUUUGGACAAUGGGCGCAAGCCUGAUCCAGCCAUGCCGCGUGCGGGAAGAAGGCCUUCGGGUUGUAAACCGCUUUUGUCAGGGAAGAAAUCUUCUGGGUUAAUACCUCGGGAGGAUGACGGUACCUGAAGAAUAAGCACCGGCUAACUACGUGCCAGCAGCCGCGGUAAU